GGUUCCACAGUUCUCUUCCGUGACCCACGGCUUCUAAUAGAGCUAUAACACUUACCACAUGGCCCAAGAUUCCAUUCCUUGGAAUCUGUGAGGCCAAGAACCCCAGGUCAAAGAACACAAGGCUUGCCACCAUCUUGGAAACAGCCGGUGGCCAUUUUGGAAGCGGCCUGCCACCAUCUUGGGAGCUCUGGGAGGAAGAACCCCCUGGUAACACAAUCACUGAACAGCCCUUUGCUUCUGGCUCCCAACUUUCUGAAACACUCUGGGGAAGAUGGUUCUUCACCAAUCCUGCAAUCCAACAGCCACCCAGUAAAAUGAGGAACUGACAUUCUUCCCAGCCCUGUGAGCUAGACAAGUAGCUAGUGUCUCUUCUACAGCCAGGAGAUUGGAAGAAGCCAGCAGGCAAUGUAGUCAUUUGGUAAUGUUCUUCCUACUGCCAAGAUGGAUUAAUGCUGGGAGACCUUACAACGGGGCACAAACAGCUUUUAUGCAAGUUAUCUCUCAGGACAGGUGUGAGGGCUCUCCGCAAAGAAAGACUGAUCGCAUCCAAGGUCCUUUAUCCCUGAGAGGGCUUCCCAGGGAUGAGCAACCUGUUCUUCCACAGGGCUGCCAGACGCCCACAGUUUUCCCUGCUGUCUCUCAUCACAGCGGCGGUGGGGCGCGCUCGCCUCCAGCCUGGCUCCGGACGCGGGGUCCCGCCACCCCCAGCAGCGGUCGCAGAGAGCCUCCCUGUUACCCCUAAAGCUGCGGAUUGUAGUAUUCUAGCAAUGGAUGAAAUCCUUUAACCGACUGUAAUAAAAAUAAGAUUGUGAAUAACAUGUGAUUAUAGUAUAGAUCUCCAUAAAACUGGCGGCUGUGAAACCCAUACUUUAAGAAGCAUGGCCUCCCUCUCGAAGCGGCUUCCAGUGACGGUCCAGGAUCUAAUUCACCCUUUUUGGAUCUAAUUCACCCUUUUUGGCUCGGGUACUGGAACAGGUCUCGGC
rnacentral:lncRNA from 1 species